UCCAUCUAGAGAGGGUAGAGAGAGAGGGAGGCAAGCUAGAGAGAGAGAAAGGAAGGCUGCCAUAUUUUUCUAGAGAAGAAAAAGAAAGGAAGAAGAAUAAAAGAAAGAGAAGGAGAAGGAGAAGAGGGUUUCGAACCCUAGGUGACAAGGUUUUCUUGCUAGAGUGUUCUUGAUUCAACAAUCAAGAGAGGCUCAUUGAGAGGUUGUGAAUUUACUUAGCUCGGACCUGAGCUCACCCCCUUACAGGUAGCAAAUAGGAUUUCUCUGUGGCACGCGUGGUGACGUGAGGAGUUCUAUCGUCGUAGGGUGUAUGGCGUGGAGUAUCCUAUGGACGAAAUAAACGAUCACUUUAGGAUGCCAUUUUAAUUAUGUUAUGUUUUAAGAGACUUUCUAAAUUAUCAGUGGGACUUAAUUAUUUAAUAUUGUUUCUUUUGAACUUUGCAUAAAAACUCAUAUUUUCUUUUUAAACUAAUGGGCCCAGCUUGCAUUGUUUUAAGCAAGUCCCCACUGAGACCUUUAUAAAAAGUGGUUUUCUUUAUGGACCAACGAUAUGUGAAUGUUUUAAUAAGUACUAGUCUAGGGCGUUCUUCACAAAAUUGGACACAUGUGUGUGCCCAAGUGUGACAUAUUUUGAGUUACAAAUUUGUAACUCCCAAAUAUUAGCCAAUAAUGUGCAGAUUGUAUGUUAAAUAUUUGAGAUUGGAUUUCACAAAGCCAUUAUGAAAUAUGGUUGUUGGAGACAUGUUAUUAACUCUCAUUAGGUGUAUGGAGGUUACAAAAGCAUGUUGGAAAGGGUUUGGGACGUUUUGGAAAAACUGAAAUUUUAUGUGCUUAAAAUGGCAGGUUGUCGCAGCCACUGUUUAUCCCUAGCCGCGGCUUGGGGGACAGAGGCCAGUGGCCGUGACCACUGAUACUCCUGGGCGCGACCAGUGAGGCUGACAACCAAUACCACUUUUCAGUUUUUUUCCAAAUUGAACGGUUAUAACAUCCUAAGUAACUCUCAAACCUCCAUUUUAAUUCAAUAAACAUCCAAUUAAACAUUGGUAAAAACCAUGGUGGUUGGUGGAAUUUGAAAUUCAAACGGUAUCUCAAACUCUAUAAAUAGGAGCCUAA